UACAGAGGUCUCAAGCGUUGUUCGGAUUCAUUGGGCGUAAAGGGUGCGUAGGCGGCCAUGUAAGUCAGGAGUGAAAGUUUGCGGCUCAACCGUAAAAUUGCUUUUGAUACUGCAUGGCUGGAAUCAGGAUGAGGUCAGCGGAAUGUGGCAUGUAGCGGUGAAAUGCAUAGAUAUGCCAUAGAACACCAAUUGCGAAGGCAGCUGGCUAGACCUGUAUUGACGCUGAGGCACGAAAGCGUGGGGAGCGAACAGG
rnacentral:rRNA from 1 species